rnacentral:rRNA from 1 species
UACGUGGGCAGCAAGCGUUGUUCGGAAUUACUGGGCGUAAAGAGUGUGUAGGCGGUGCUCUAAGUCUGUUGUGAAAUCUCCCGGCUUAACCGGGAGGGUGCGGCGGAAACUGGAGUGCUUGAGGGUGGGAGAGGUAAGCGGAAUUCCUGGUGUAGCGGUGAAAUGCGUAGAUAUCAGGAGGAACACCUGUGGUGUAGACAGCUUACUGGACCACUUCUGACGCUGAGACACGAAAGCGUGGGUAGCAAACAGG